GUGUCCAGUAGAGAUGACCUGCAGGCGGCGGACCGCUCGAGAAUCUGACUGCUGCACAAGAGGAGGAAGAGGAGUGUAAAUUUCAAAAGGACGAGCUGUGUGAUCUGUGAGAGGUGGUGCAGCGAUGGCAGCAGGAGGUGCAGGAGCAGAAGGAGAGCCGGGUAAAGGAGGUGCAGGCCCUUAAGGAAGAGCUGCAGAGCACACAAAGUUGUCUGCAGCAGCACAGAGAUACAGCCCACAGACAGCAGAGAGACACGGAGGAUGAGGUCUCCUGCAGGGCGGCAGCUCUCCGCAGUCAGGAUACAGAGUUGAUUCAACUAAAGGCAGGUCUGCUGGAGGCUGAGAAACUAGACACAGAGGCACGACUGCAACCUCUUACCGAAUCCCUAGAGCUCUGCCAACACAAGUACCAGGCCUGCCUCAGCAAGAUCACACAACAAGAGAACACUCUGCAUAGCCACGAGGAGGACCUGAAAGAGGCCCACAAUCAGAGGGAAGAGCAGGUCCUCCGUCUGAGGGCUCAGGUUGUAGCUCAGCAGGUACACUGCGCCCAGCUGGAGAGUGGAGACGAUGCCCUCACCGCUCUGAGCCAGCAGCUCCGAGACACGCUGGGAGAACUGGAGCACAGUCGUAAACACAGCCAGGAGUGUGAGCUGCUCAUCAGCACUCUCAGAGACACUGCUGCUACCCGUCUCUGA
rnacentral:lncRNA from 1 species